rnacentral:rRNA from 1 species
UACAGAGGGGGCAAGCGUUGUUCGGAAUUACUGGGCGUAAAGGGCGCGUAGGCGGCCCGCUAAGUCGAACGUGAAAUCCCCAGGCUUAACCUGGGAACUGCGUCCGACACUGGCAGGCUUGAAUCCGGGAGAGGGAUGUGGAAUUCCAGGUGUAGCGGUGAAAUGCGUAGAUAUCUGGAGGAACACCGGUGGCGAAGGCGGCAUCCUGGACCGGCAUUGACGCUGAGGCGCGAAAGCUAGGGGAGCAAACGGG